UACAGAGGUCUCAAGCGUUGUUCGGAUUCAUUGGGCGUAAAGGGCGCGUAGGCUGCGGGGCAAGUCGGGUGUGAAAUCUCGGGGCUUAACUCCGAAACUGCAUUCGAUACUGCCGUGCUUGAGGACUGGAGAGGAGACUGGAAUUUACGGUGUAGCGGUGAAAUGCGUAGAUAUCGUAAGGAAGACCAGUGGCGAAGGCGGGUCUCUGGACAGUUCCUGACGCUGAGGCACGAAGGCCAGGGGAGCAAACGGG
rnacentral:rRNA from 1 species